rnacentral:rRNA from 1 species
AUGUGGAUGCUCAAUGCAGACAUAAAAUUUUCUGCUAAAUCCUUAUAUCUUCAUUUGAUCAAAAUUAAUUGUGGUUUUCCCCAGAAAUUUUUAUGGAAGUCCAAAGUCCCAACGAAAAUCAAAAUUUUCCUGUGGUUACUGAACAGAAAAAGUAUAUUUAUCAGAGAUAAUCUUUUAAAGAGGGGAUGGAAAGGGGACAAAAACUGUGUAUUUUGUGGAAAAGAUGAGACCAUUGAUCAUCUUUUCUUCUCUUGCUCUGUUCCUAAACUCGUUUGGAACUUAAUUAGAUGUUCUUUUGAUAUGAGAUCGAUUCCUGCCGAUCUUAAUGAUUGUUUUGGGGGAUGGAUAAAUAGCUUCCCUAAAAAUGAUAAAAACAAAUUGGUUCUGGUAUGCACUUCAGCUUUGCUUUGGGCAGUUUGGAGAUGUCGUAAUGAUAUCAUUUUUGAGAGGAAAAAAAUGAAUGAUCCUUUAGGUUUGAUUAAACUGAUGUGCAACUGA